AUCCACCCGCCUCGGACUCCCAAAGUGCUGGGAUUACAGGUGUGAGCCACCGCACCUGGCCUGAAUAUAAAGACUCAUUUUAAAUUAUACUAGUUGAACCUUUAUACUACAAUGUAUCCUGGCACUUAUUUUUUUUAAACCAUUAUCAGAUAUUUCAUGUUCUACUAGUAAAGGGAAUUCGCAUUUUCAAUGUCCUGUCUGCAUUCCUCCUAGCCUCUCUCUGCUCAGGUUUUGGAAAAUAGAUCUUUCAAAUGCAAUUGCAGUAUCCAAGGAAAUUCCUCCCACCCAUGCCACCAGUGCUCAUCCUGUGGGCACCCCACAGUCAGCAGUUUAAGACCAUUCUGGAUGAAUGCAAAUGCUUGAUUCAAUUUUCCCAAAUCCCAAUCAACUAGCUACAGUUUUUAUUGUAUGCAAUCUUCCCAACAUUGCAGUAAAGCAGUCUAGAUGGCUGGGGAAAGGUAAAAGAACCCCGGUUGUGAUUAUUUUUUUCUAACAAAAUGGAAUUAAAAGAUGAGAAAACCUCGUAGUAUUUUAGUCUGGUACUUUUAGCAUCCCCAACUUUUAAGAUUAUAAAUUCACAAUAGUGAACACCCUAGUGACAACUUUUAAAUAAAAUACUGGAUAGCUGGGCGCAGUGGCUCACACCCGUAAUCCCAGCACUUUGGGAGGCCGAGGCGUGUAGAUCACUUGAGGUCAAGAGUUCAAGACCAACCUGGCCAACAUGGUAAAACCUCCUCUCUACUAUAAAUACAAAAAAUUAGCUGGGCGUGGUGGUGCAUGUCUGUAAUCCCAGCUAUUCGGGAGGCUGAGGCAGGAGAAUCACUUGAACCCAGGAGGCAGAGGUUAGAGUGAGCCGAGAUCGUGCCACUGCACUUCAGCCUGGGCAAUGGAGUGAGACUCUGUCUCAAAAAAAAUAAAAAAUAAAAAAUAAAAUACUGCAUAAUUACAUGCUAUAGUAAAUUAAUCAUACACUCAAAAUUUUAGCUUGGAUUUGUUUUGCAACUGAUUUGAUGCUGUCUGAAAAUCAAGAUCAAGCAGGUGAUGAAAACUAUACCUUUUGAACAUGCAUUAGGUAACCAGGGGGCAACAGAGUAGGGACUAAUAAGGCCAGCAACUCAGGGAAAUUAGCCUAUUCAUCUGAUAUAUUUGGCCUCCAUAAAACUGCCAUGGAUUCCAACUGUACUCAAAUAUAAUACAACUUCUUCAAUGCUGCUUUAUAAAUCUGACUGAAAACCUUAUUUAAGGAGUCAAGAUGCUGAACACCCUAACAAAAGCAAAAACAAAAUUACGGCCUAUGUGGUGUCACUGUUAUUACCACUCUUUACAAAGCACUAAGUACACAUAGGUGUUUGGCAUUGUCUCUGGAACUACAAAACUAUGGCCUAUGUGGUGUCACUGUUAUUCACUCUUUACAAAGCACUAAGUACACACAGGUGUUUGGCAUUGUCUCUGGAACUACAAAACUACGGCCUAUGUGGUGUCACUGUUAUUACCACUCUUUACAAAGCACUAAGCACACACAGGUGUUUGGCAUUGUCUCUGGAACUACAAAAUUAAACUUUUAGAAUCACAGCAUUUUACACCUGAGAGGAAUCUUAAAAGAUACUGAAUUUCGCUUCUCACUUUAUAGCUGAGAAGAGUGAGGGAAGGACGGACCAUGGGAGUCAGCAUUUUUCAAGCAUCCAGGCACGCUGGGCCUGGUAUUUCAAUUAGAGUUUCUCAUUCUCACAGUCUCAGGCAGGUUGCAUUAACCUCCACUUCACAGCUAAGUAAAUGCGGAUCUACCAGAUUGAAUAAUCUCCCCCAAAUAAAUUCACUAAUGAGGAACAGAAGGAAUCCAACGUCAGAGUUAGUGCUCUUCUCAGAGUAAUAAUCUGCAAAGUGUGGUCCUGGGACCAGCAGCUGGGGCAUUACCUGGACGCUUGUUAGAAAGGCAAAUUACCAGGCCCACCAUCCCCACCGCCAGACCUACUGAAUCAGAAACUCUAGGGUGGCCCCCAGCAAUCAAGUUUUUGGUUUUGUUUUUUUAACAGACAGGGUCUCACUUUGCUGCCCAGGCUGGACUGCAGUGGCCCAAUAAUAACUCACUGCAGCCUCGAACUCCUGGGUUCAAGUGAUCCUCCUGCCUCAGACUCCCAAGCAGCUCAGACUACAGGUAUGCACUACCAUGCCUGUUUGUUUUUUGUUUUUGUUUUUGUAGAGACAGGGGUCUUGCUGUAUUGCCCAGCCUGAUCUUGAACUCCUGGGCUCACGUGAUCCUCCUGCCUCAGUCUCCCAAAGCACUGGAAUUACAGGCAUGAGCCUGUGUUCUCCCCUCUCUUCCAAUAAUGUGUAUUCAACAAGGCCUUCAGGUGAUGCUGAUGCUGUCUGAAAGCCACUGCUCUCCAGCAUGUGGUCUCUGAAACUUUACUUAGGAGUAUGCAUAUUAAAAUAUAUAUAUAACUUAACACUAUGCUACUACAAAGGGCAAAAUAAUUCACUUUAUUGUACUUUAUUUUAGAAUAAUUAAGACAAGGAUAGGCUUCAAUGAAAUUUUGCUUUGAUGUUACAUGGUCUGACUGACACUGGAUUUCUUCAUAAGAAAAAUAAAUGUGAAAGCUAUUCCAAGUAAGCAAAUGGUGGCAAAAACAAUCUAAAGAAUUGGUUUUAGCCAGGCAUGGUGGCUGCCUCAUUUUUCAGCUUUGUUGUAGUUGAGAUUCUGAUGUUCACCUAACAAAGUCCCUGACAAAACAGACUUCCUUCAAUCCAGGUCAUAAUUUGAAACGUUAUACAAUAAUGAGAUUUAAGUGAUGAAUGGAAAGAAAAGAAGGAGACUGAAAAGAUAUCAGAAAUUUCUAUUUGUUUUUAGAUUCAGAAAAAUAUAAUUACAGGCCAACAUGGGUCUGACAGAGAGGAAGGACGUCAGCAGUUACUUGAAUGUAACCCCUUCCCAGCAUUUCCAAAGACCUGCAAUGUGCUCAUUGUGAUCCAAGGGCCUUGUUACCUAGUUUCUAGGUGAUCUACAGAAUUGAAACAACCCAGCACAACUUUAUUUCUUGAGAAGAUGAACCCUUAACUAUGAAGGUGCAGAAAGGAAGUCUUCAACUGCUCACUCACCAUGGCUACAGUAUUCAAAUGCAACAAUCAUUCAGAUAAAUAAAACCUGUGAGAAAAAGCAAACAGGUGGGCAAGCAAAGCGGCAGUGAUUCAUACUUUCAGUUAACCAAUUGAACAGUGGUGCUUCCUUCUGAAGAAGUUGUUCAUUGAUUUUUGUUUUUUAAGAAACAGAAAAGCAGCAGUAUAAUGAAAGAAGAUUGGCUGAAGAUCUAUCCAGCCUGUUAACUACGGCUUAGUACUUCCAGAAUCCUGAGUAACAACACAUGACCUGUGUGAUGAUAAGAGCACAGAACACAUGAACAACCAAAAGAUUCUAAGCUCAGCCUCUUUCCCUAUAGUAUUUACAGAAUAAUUUUAAAUUUCAGUUUCACCUCCACUACUUCAACGAUUUUACCCUGUAAAUUGCUGAAGGUCUUUGUGAACUGUCGAACAGCAAAAACAAAAAGUAGAGGUAUCUAGAUUAUAAACUUCAACCAAAAGUAGUCCUUGAGUAAUUAAAAUGUUACUUCAUUAUGUUCUUUUUAAAAGAAAAUUCCUCAGAAGUCCACAUUCUUUACAUGCCUUCACCCUG
rnacentral:lncRNA from 1 species